rnacentral:rRNA from 1 species
UACAGAGGUCCCAAGCGUUGUUCGGAUUUACUGGGCGUAAAGGGUGCGUAGGCGGUUGGGUAAGUCGGGUGUGAAAUCUCGGGGCUUAACUCCGAAACUGCAUUCGAUACUGCCGUGCUUGAGGACUGGAGAGGGGACUGGAAUUUACGGUGUAGCGGUGAAAUGCGUAGAUAUCGUAAGGAAGACCAGUGGCGAAGGCGGGUCUCUGGACAGUUCCUGACGCUGAGGCACGAAGGCCAGGGGAGCAAACGGG